UCGAGGAUCUUCGUCAAUGGGGGAAACCCUGAACGAGCGAUGCCGCGUGAGCGAUGAAGGCCUUCGGGUUGUAAAGCUCAAAAGAGGUGAGAAAGGGAAACUUGAUCAAACCUCAGUAAGCUCGGGCUAAGUUCGUGCCAGCAGCCGCGGUAAUACGUAGGGUGCAAGCGUUAAUCGGAAUUACUGGGCGUAAAGCGUGCGCAGGCGGUUAUGCAAGACAGGUGUGAAAUCCCCGGGCUUAACCUGGGAACUGCACUUGUGACUGCAUAGCUGGAGUACGGCAGAGGGGGAUGGAAUUCCGCGUGUAGCAGUGAAAUGCGUAGAUAUGCGGAGGAACACCGAUGGCGAAGGCAGUCCCCUGGGCCUGUACUGACGCUCAUGCACGAAAGCGUGGGGAGCAAACAGGAUUAGAUACCCACGUAGUCCCUGAGCGGGCUGGCAAGGCGCAU
rnacentral:rRNA from 1 species